rnacentral:rRNA from 1 species
CCUGCCCAGUGACUAAUUGUUCAACGGCCGCGGUAUCCUGACCGUGCAAAGGUAGCAUAAUCAUUUGCCUUUUAAUUGGAGGCUAGUAUGAAUGGGUAGACGAAGAUUUAGCUGUUUCUAUAUUAAAAAUAUAACUUAAACUUUAGGUGAAGAUGCCUAAAUUUUAUAGAAAGACAAGAAGACCCUAUAGAGUUUGCUUUGGUUGGGGCGACCUAGGAUCUAAUUAAACAUCCUUCUAUACUGAUAUAUUUAUCUAAAUAAUUGAACCUAAAUGGAUUAUUAAAAUUAACUACCUUAGGGAUAACAGGCUUAUCUUCCUAGAGAGCUCUUAUUGAUAGGAUGGUUUGGCACCUCGAUGUUGGCUUAGAGUAACUUAAUAUCGCAGCAGAUAUUUGUAGUCAGUUUGUUCAACUGUUAAUUCUCU